rnacentral:tRNA from 1 species
GUUUUUGUAGUGUUUCACGUUAUCUUUUCGAGAUAAAAAUAGUUUUAAAACUCAAAAAU